GGCGAGCUCUGGCUCCCAUUGGACCGUCGGCGAGGGGAGGGGUGAGCUAUAAAUGGAGAAUAGGUCCACGUGACAGUUUGGCAGCUGCUCCUCUCCCCCCACCCCUCACAACCCUCCGCUUCUGAGGCUGCGCAGGGGGCGGAAGGGCUUAGAGUAGAGCCUUGAUUUUGCCGCCUCUUCCAGGAAGUCUUCCCAGACACUCAGCUGUAAAAGUGGAGGUUCAGGCCAGCUAAGACGGACGUCCUCCCAUAAAAUGAUGCUUCUCAGCGUGGCCAGCUUCACGGGCGUGCAACCGGCUUGGAAGGACCCCGCGCUUGGUUUAAUGGAAGAUUAGCCCUGAGCUAACUGCUGCCAAUCCUCCUCUUUCUGCUGAGGAAGACUGGCCCUGAGCUAACAUCCGUGCCCAUCUUCCUCUACCUUAUACGUGGGACGCCUGCCACAGCAUGGCUUGCCAAGCUGUGCCAUGUCCACACCCAGGAUCCGAACCGGUGAACCCCAAGCUGCCAAAGCAGAACGUGUGCACUUAACCACUGCACCACCAGGCCGGCCCUGAGUAAGAUUUUGAUAGCCGGAAGCCCCAGGUGAAAGCAGAAAGGGACUGUGAGUCGGGAUGGAGAGGGACGUGAAAGAAAGCAGAGGAAAUGCUAAGACAUUCAAACGGGUGGUGCUGGAGGUACACGUGGAGCCCAGGAUGGUGUUUCAAGUGGCAACUGGCGAGAACCUCUUUGAUUGACGGCCUCCAGGUCUUGGACCAGCGAGCAUCCUCAUGGUAACACUGGGGCUCCUGACGGACAAGAUGGGAGAGUUGCAGGGGCCCGAGCGGUAUUCGGAGGCCCUGAGUGAUGGGUUGGAGGCCCUGCGGGGCCUCUGGUGUCAGAGCAUGUUAAGACAGUUCCAGGAGGGACAUAAAAAGAUCUGUUUCCACUUUAAGAGGUUCAGCCUCCGGGGCCGGCCCGUUGGUGCAACGGUUAAGUGUGCAUGCUCUGCUUUGGUGGCCCGGGGUUCGCUGGUUCGGAUCCCGGCUGCGGACAUGGCACCACUUGGCAUGCCAUACUGUGGUAGGCGGCCCACAUAUAAAGUAGAGGAAGAUGGGGCACGGAUGUUAGCUCAGGGCCAGUCUUCCUCAGCAAAAAGAGGAGGAUUGGCAGCAGUUAGCUCAGGGCUAAUCUUCCUCAAGAAAAAAAAAGAAGAGGUUCAGCCUCUGAGAUGCACCUUCUCUUUGUUGAGUUGGGGGCCCAAAGAGAAGCAGGAGUGCGGGUCAGCCUAUCUGGAUGAUGCGGGCUGGACGGAGAGGCUGCCGGGUGUUUUUGGGGGGGGGAGGUGCGGAAGGUUAGGGGACUAAGAUGGACAGGAGCAGUCAGGGACCAUGAGAAACAGGCUGUCUCGUAAACGUGAUAAUCCUAACUUUCCAGAUUGAUAGAAUAGCCCUUCUGACAAGACUGAUUCGAGUAGUUUGAGUAAGAAACUACGCUGGGUAGGAAGGAGCCUAAUGAAACAGGCAGUGGCUUGGACAAGCGUAAGCCAUGUGUUAAAUGAUGGUGUUUCCUCCUGAUCGUUGUUGUGAACUGAGGGAGGAGGGGGGGCUGUGAGAUAUUUGUGGGGGAUGGUGUGGCUCCUGGAUCUACUGAAAUGGGGCAGAAUGCCAUUCACGGGGAUGGUCAUUUCCCCUGUGUGGGUUGAGGGCUAUUUAUGAACCCAGAGGAGAAAGUCUGCUGGAAGGGCAUCCUUGGGGAGACUCAGUGUUACACUGAAAUUCCUUUUUGUAUUUUAAAGCCCAGUGUCGAAUACUACACAGCCAUAAAAAAAGAUGGACUCUUGCCACUUGGGACAACAUGGAUGGACCUUGAGGGUGUUAUGUAAAGUGAAAUAAAUCAGACAGAGAAAGUCAAAUACCGUAUGAUGUCACUCGUAUGUGGAAGAUAAAACAACAAACAGAGAUACAGAGAACAGAUUGGUGGUUUCCAGAGGGGGAGAGGGGUGGAGGGAGGGCGACAAGGGUAAGGGGGCACAUUUAUGCAGCGAUGGAUGGAAACUGGACUUUUAGUGCUGGACACAAUGCAGUCUAUACACAAAUUGAAAUAUAAUGAAAUACACCUGAAAUUUAUAUAGUGUUAUAAGCCAAUGUGACCUCAAUAAAAAAUUAAUUUUUAAAAAAGUCUAAUGGCCCUUUUCUUUACAGUACCUACAAGUCUCUAUCAAGAUUAAGUUUCAUGGGGCUGGCCUGGUCACGCAGCGGUUAAGUUCGCACAUUCUGCUUGGGCAGCCUGGAGUUCACCGGUUCAGAUCCCCAGUGAGGACAUGGCACCGCUUGGCGAAAGCCAUGCUGUGGCAGGCGUCCCACAUAUAAAGUGGAGGAAGAUGGACAUGGAUGUUAGCUCAGGGCCAGUCUUCCUCAGCAAAAAGAGGAGGAUUGGCAGCAGAUGUUAGCUCAGGGCUAAUCUUCCUCAAACAAAAAGAAAAGAAAAAGAUUAAGUUUCAUGGUAUCCAAUGGCCCUGAUAGGAUGGAUUUUUUUUUCACCUCUAAUUGUGUAAGUUGUGGGGCUUUAAGUUGCACUGUGUGGAUUUGAUUUUAUCUGCCGUGGCGUCCUCUUGACGUUGGGCUAGCUUGUGGGAUUCUGUAACCGAGGCAUUUGGCCAGUUAACAUUAUGUUUUUGAUCACUUCUCCCAUUUCUGGUCUCAG
rnacentral:lncRNA from 1 species